GACGAACGCUGGCGGCGUGCUUAACACAUGCAAGUCGAACGGAAAGGCCCUGCUUUUUUGGGGUGCUCGAGUGGCGAACGGGUGAGUAACACGUGAGUAACCUGCCCUUUACUUUGGGAUAACUUCAGGAAACUGGGGCUAAUACCGGAUAGGAGCUCCUGCUGCAUGGUGGGGGUUGGAAAGUUUCGGCGGUUGGGGAUGGACUCCCGGCUUAUCAUCUUGUUUGUGGGGGAGUGGCUUACCAAGGCAUUGACGGGUCGCCGGCAUGAGAGGGUGACCGGCGACAAUGGUACUGCGAUACGGACCAGACUCCUACGGGAGGCAGUAGUGGGGAAUAUUGCACAAUGGGCGGAAGCCUGAUGCAGAAACGCCGCGUGCGGGAUGACGGCCUUCGGGUGGUAAACCGCUUUCGCCUGUGACGAAGAGUGAGUGACGGUAAUGGGUAAAGAAGCACCGGCUAACUACGUG
rnacentral:rRNA from 1 species